GUCGGUUACGGUGAUAUGCAUCCCGUCACGUGGCUUGGAAAGAUCGUGGGCUCCAUGUGUGCCAUCUGUGGCGUACUAAUAGUCGCACUUCCUGUUUCUAUUAUCGGGAGUAAC